GACGAACGCUGGCGGCGUGCUUAACACAUGCAAGUCGAACGGAAAGGCCCUGCUUUUGUGGGGUGCUCGAGUGGCGAACGGGUGAGUAACACGUGAGUAACCUGCCCUUGACUUUGGGAUAACUUCAGGAAACUGGGGCUAAUACCGGAUAGGAGCUCCUGCUGCAUGGUGGGGGUUGGAAAGUUUCGGCGGUUGGGGAUGGACUCGCGGGUUACCAGCUUGUUGGUGGGGUAGUGGCUUACCAAGGCUUUGACGGGUAGCCGGCCUGAGAGGGUGACCGGCCACAUUGGGACUGAGAUACGGCCCAGACUCCUACGGGAGGCAGCAGUGGGGAAUAUUGCACAAUGGGGGGAAGCCUGAUGCAGCAACGCCGCGUGCGGGAUAACGGCCUUCGGGUUGUAAACAGCUUUCGCCUGUGACGAAGCGUGAGUGACGGUAAUGGGUAAAGAAGCACCGGCUAACUACGUG
rnacentral:rRNA from 1 species